rnacentral:rRNA from 1 species
UAGAUGAGCCUAUAUUAGAUUAGCUAGUUGGUGGAGUAAUAGCCUACCAAGGCAAUGAUCUAUAGCUGAUCUGAGAGGAUGAUCAGCCACACUGGAACUGAGAUACGGUCCAGACUCCUACGGGAGGCAGCAGUGGGGAAUAUUGGACAAUGGGCGAAAGCCUGAUCCAGCUAUGCCGCAUGAGUGAAGAAGGCCUUUGGGUUGUAAAGCUCUUUUAGUGAGGAAGAUAAUGACGGUACUCACAGAAGAAGUCCUGGCUAACUCCGUGCCAGCAGCCGCGGUAAUACGGAGAGGGCUAGCGUUAUUCGGAAUUAUUGGGCGUAAAGGGCGCGUAGGCUGAUUAAUAAGUUAAAAGUGAAAUCCCGAGGCUUAACCUUGGAAUUGCUUUUAAAACUAUUAAUCUAGAGAUUGAAAGAGGAUAGAGGAAUUCCUGAUGUAGAGGUAAAAUUCGUAAAUAUUAGGAGGAACACCAGUGGCGAAGGCGUCUAUCUGGUUCAAAUCUGACGCUGAGGCGCGAAGGCGUGGGGAGCAAACAGGAUUAGAUACCCUGGUAGUCCACGCUAUAAACGAUGAAUGUUAAAUAUGGGAAGUUUAC